AGAACAUUGGGCCCACAUUCUUUAUUUUCUCAGAUGAGGAAUGUGGCUUCUACGAUUGAUAUACUAAUGCCCAUCUCCUUUUGCUCUUUCAUCCUACCAUUCCAGAUAGAACGUGGUCUCUACAGGAUGAAUGGAGUACUUGCACUUAAGGAGAGCACCUACCAGCUCCUGAAUUAGCUGUGCCUCUGGGAUUCACAACUCUGUUUUCAUCAGUACACCAAGGGAUGGACAAUUUUUUUGAGAGAUCUCUUGGCAGUGACAUUGGAGGGGAACAGAGUGCUGAAUUUGUGCAAUGGAAAAAUGAUAACUCAGCAGGUUCUACUGAAAUGCCAUUUACCUCCUGUUUCCAAGCAAUUCAGGUAAUAUUCUGUCUUUUCAAGAGCAAGUUUAUUUGAGAUUGUAAAAUUAUUGAAAAUUUCAUUUUAAUUGGCUGAGAUUACAGUUGAGAGUGAAAGCAUAACAUUAAUGCUGAAG